GGCAUAUCAGAACGGAAUGGAAAGUCCGGCCAUAGCGGGUGAUAGCCCCGUAUGAGAAAUGUUGAUUGUGGAACUAGGCACGAAAAGAGUAGGGCGGGACACGUGAAAUCCUGUCUGAACAUGGGGGGACCAUCCUCCAAGGCUAAAUACUCGUAAUCGACCGAUAGCGAACAAGUACCGUGAGGGAAAGGCGAAAAGAACCCCGGGAGGGGAGUGAAAUAGAUCCUGAAACCGCAUGCAUACAAAAAGUAGGAGCCCUCCGGGGUGACUGCGUACCUUUUGUAUAAUGGGUCAGCGACUUACAUUCAGUGGCGAGGUUAACCGAAUAGGGUAGCCGUAGAGAAAUCGAGUCCGAAUAGGGCGAAUUAGUCGCUGGGUGUAGACCCGAAACCAAGUGAUCUAUCCAUGGCCAGGAUGAAGGUACCGUAACAGGUGCUGGAGGUCCGAACCGACUAGUGUUGCAAAACUAGCGGAUGAGCUGUGGAUAGGGGUGAAAGGCUAAACAAACUUGGAGAUAGCUGGUUCUCUCCGAAAACUAUUUAGGUAGUGCCUCAAGUAUUACCUUCGGGGGUAGAGCACUGUUUAGGCUAGGGGGUCAUGGCGACUUACCAAACCUAUGCAAACUCCGAAUACCGAAGAGUACAGCUUGGGAGACAGAGCACCGGGUGCUAACGUCCGGACUCAAGAGGGAAACAACCCAGACCGCCAGCUAAGGUCCCUAAAAUUGGCUAAGUGGGAAACGAAGUGGGAAGGCUAAAACAGUCAGGAUGUUGGCUUAGAAGCAGCCAUCAUUUAAAGAAAGCGUAAUAGCUCACUGAUCGAGUCGUCCUGCGCGGAAGAUGUAACGGGGCUAAGCCAGUUACCGAAGCUGCGGAUGCACAGUUUACUGUGCGUGGUAGGAGAGCGUUCUGUACGCCUGUGAAGGUGGGUCGUGAGGCCUGCUGGAGGUAUCAGAAGUGCGAAUGCUGACAUGAGUAGCGUUAAAGGGGGUGAAAAGCCCCCUCGCCGAAAGCGCAAGGUUUCCUACGCAACGUUCAUCGGCGUAGGGUGAGUCGGCCCCUAAGGCGAGGCAGAGAUGCGUAGCUGAUGGGAAACAGGUCAAUAUUCCUGUACCGAUCUAUAGUGCGAUGUGGGGACGGAGAAGGUUAGCUCAGCCGGGUGUUGGAUGUCCCGGUUCAAGCAUGUAGGCGUGCCCUCUAGGCAAAUCCGGAGGGCUUAGCUGAGGUGUGAUAACGAGUCUGCUUGCAGACGAAGUGAGUGAUACCCUGCUUCCAGGAAAAGCCACUAAGCUUCAGCUAUAGACGACCGUACCGCAAACCGACACUGGUGCGCGAGAUGAGUAUUCUAAGGCGCUUGAGAGAACUCUGGAGAAGGAACUCGGCAAAUUGACACCGUAACUUCGGAAGAAGGUGUGCCUUUAGUAGGUGAAGGGGAUUUACUCUCCCAGCCCAAUGAGGCCGCAGAGAAUCGGUGGCUGCAACUGUUUAUUAAAAACACAGCACUCUGCAAAGACGAAAGUCGACGUAUAGGGUGUGACUCCUGCCCGGUGCUGGAAGAUUAAAUGAUGGGGUGCAAGCUCUUGACUGAAGUCCCAGUAAACGGCGGCCGUAACUAUAACGGUCCUAAGGUAGCGAAAUUCCUUGUCGGGUAAGUUCCGACCUGCACGAAUGGAGUAAUGAUGGCCACACUGUCUCCUCCAGAGACUCAGCGAAGUUGAAAUGUUUGUGAUGAUGCAAUCUCCCCGCGGAAAGACGGAAAGACCCCAUGAACCUUUACUGUAGCUUUACAUUGGACUUUGAACAGAUCUGUGUAGGAUAGGUGGGAGGCUUUGAAACCUGGUCGCUAGAUCAGGUGGAGCCAACGUUGAAAUACCACCCUGGUGUGUUUGAGGUUCUAACCUUGGCCCGUUAUCCGGGUUGGGGACAGUGUAUGGUGGGCAGUUUGACUGGGGCGGUCUCCUCCCAAAGUGUAACGGAGGAGUUCGAAGGUACGCUAAAUACGGUCGGAAAUCGUGUUGAUAGUGCAUUGGCAUAAGCGUGCUUGACUGCGAGACUGACAAGUCGAGCAGGUACGAAAGUAGGACAAAGUGAUCCGGUGGUUCUGUAUGGAAGGGCCAUCGCUCAACGGAUAAAAGGUACUCUGGGGAUAACAGGCUGAUACCGCCCAAGAGUUCAUAUCGACGGCGGUGUUUGGCACCUCGAUGUCGGCUCAUCUCAUCCUGGGGCUGUAGCCGGUCCCAAGGGUAUGGCUGUUCGCCAUUUAAAGAGGUACGUGAGCUGGGUUUAAAACGUCGUGAGACAGUUUGGUCCCUAUCUUCCGUGGGCGCUGCAAGAUUGAGAGAGCCUGCUCCUAGUACGAGAGGACCGGAGUGGACGCACCUCUGGUGUAUCGGUUGUCACGCCAGUGGCAUCGCCGAGUAGCUAAGUGCGGAAGAGAUAACCGCUGAAAGCAUCUAAGCGGGAAACUCGUCUCAAGAUGAGUCUUGCCGGGGCCUUGAGCCCCCUGAAGGGUCGUUCGAGACCAGGACGUUGAUAGGCUGGGUGUGGAAGCGCAGUAAUGCGUUAAGCUAACCAGUACUAAUUGCCCGUGAGGCUUGACCCUA
rnacentral:rRNA from 1 species